rnacentral:rRNA from 1 species
GGGCCCAAUGGGCUUUCUAAUUGGAAUGAGAACAAUGUAAACAGCUUAUCGAGGAGCCAGCAGAGGGCAAGUCUGGUGCCAGCAGCCGCGGUAAUUC